rnacentral:rRNA from 1 species
UACGUAGGGUGCGAGCGUUAAUCGGAAUUACUGGGCGUAAAGCGUGCGCAGGCGGUUUUGUAAGCCAGAUGUGAAAUCCCCGGGCUUAACCUGGGAAUGGCAUUUGGGACUGCAAGGCUGGAGUGUGGCAGAGGAGACUGGAAUUCCUGGUGUAGCAGUGAAAUGCGUAGAGAUGUGGAGGAACACCGAUGGCGAAGGCAGCCCCCUGGGCCGACACUGACGCUCAGGCACGAAAGCGUGGGGAGCAAACAGG